rnacentral:misc_RNA from 1 species
GACGAUUGACUCAUGUUGCCUCGGCGGGUCCUCCCGCCAGAGGAUACAUCAAAACUCCUGUUUUAACGGUGUUGUCUGAGCUACAAACAACGAAUCAAAACUUUCAACAGCGGAUCUCUUGGUUCUGGCAUCGAUGAAGAACGCAGCGAAAUGCGAUAAGUAGUGUGAAUUGCAAAAUUCAGUGAAUCAUCGAAUCUUUGAACGCACAUUGCGCCCCUUGGUAUCCCGAGGGGCAUGCCUGUUCGAGCGUCAUUUCGCCACUCAAGCCUGGCUUGGUGUUGGGCGACGUCCCCCUUUAGGGACGCGCCUCGAAACGCUCGGGGGCGUGGCACCGGCUUUAAGCGUAGCAGAAUCUUUCGCUUUGAAAGUCGGGGCCCCGUCUGCCGGAAGACCUACUCACAAGGUUGACCUCGGAUCACGUAGGGAUACCCGCUGAACUUAAGCAUAUC